rnacentral:tRNA from 1 species
GGGGAUUUAGCUCAGCGGCAUAAGCGCCUGCCUUGCAAGCAGGCAGUCGAGCGUUCGAUCCCUG